CCCCACAUUUGCUACGCUGCAUGUGGGGCUGAAAUAUCCCGUCCCUUCGGGACU
rnacentral:sRNA from 1 species